rnacentral:rRNA from 1 species
UACGAAGGGGGCUAGCGUUGCUCGGAAUCACUGGGCGUAAAGCGCACGUAGGCGGGUUCUUAAGUCGGUGGUGAAAUCCUGGAGCUCAACUCCAGAACUGCCUCCGAUACUGAGAAUCUUGGAGUCCGGGAGAGGUGAGUGGAACUGCGAGUGUAGAGGUGAAAUUCGUAGAUAUUCGCAAGAACACCAGUGGCGAAGGCGGCUCACUGGCCCGGUACUGACGCUGAGGUGCGAAAGCGUGGGGA